rnacentral:rRNA from 1 species
UCCGAUGGACAACAGGUUGAAAUUCCUGUACUGCGAUAUAUCAGAAAUGUGGGGACACAGAAGGAAAGUGUGAGCCGGGAAAGGAAAGACCGGUGCAAGCACAGGAGGAGGGAUACAGGCAAAUCCGUAUCCCAAUCCAAUGGUGUUACGCGGAGCGAACAAAAGUAGCGAAGCACACAGACCAUCUGUCGAGAAAAGCCGCUAUUGUGUAUACCGUACCCGUACCGUAAACCGACACAGGUGGAUGAGGAGAGAAUCCUAAGGCCGGCGGGAGAAGCAUUGUUAAGGAACUCGGCAAAAUGACCCCGUAACUUCGGGAGAAGGGGUGCUCACGCAAGUGAGCCGCAGAGAACUGGCCCAAGCAACUGUUUAGCAAAAACACAGGUCUAUGCAAAACCGAAAGGUGAGGUAUAUGGGCUGACGCCUGCCCGGUGCUGGAAGGUUAAGAGGAGAUGUUAGAGCAAUCGAAGCAUUGAAUUUAAGCCCCAGUAAACGGCGGCCGUAACAAUAACGGUCCUAAGGUAGCGAAAUUCCUUGUCGGGUAAGUUCCGACCCGCACGAAAGGCGUAAUGAUUUGGGCACUGUCUCGACAAUGCACCCGGUGAAAUUGAAAUACCAGUGAAGAUGCUGGUUACCUGCGCCAGGACGGAAAGACCCCAUGGAGCUUUACUCUAGCUUGAUACUGGGAUUCGGUAUUGCAUGUACAGGAUAGGUGGGAGACUAAGAGGUGAUGACGCCAGUUGUCACGGAGUCGAUGUUGGGAUACCACCCCUGCAGUACUGGGUUUCUAACCUGCGGCCGUGACCCGGCCGGGGGACAAUGUCUGGUGGGGAGUUUGACUGGGGCGGUCGCCUCCGAAAGGGUAUCGGAGGCGCUCAAAGGUUCCCUCAGAAUGGUUGGAAACCAUUCGAAGAGUGCAAAGGCAGAAGGGAGCUUGACUGCGACACCGACGGGUGGAGCAGGUACGAAAGUAGGACUUAGUGAUCCGGUGGUAUGAAAGUGGGAUUGCCAUCGCUCAACGGAUAAAAGCUACCCUGGGGAUAACAGGCUUAUCACUCCCAAGAGUUCACAUCGACGGAGUGGUUUGGCACCUCGAUGUCGGCUCAUCGCAUCCUGGGGCUGUAGUAGGUCCCAAGGGUUGGGCUGUUCGCCCAUUAAAGCGGUACGCGAGCUGGGUUCAGAACGUCGUGAGACAGUUCGGUCCCUAUCCGGCGUGGGCGCAGGAUAUCUGAGAGGAGCUGUCCUUAGUACGAGAGGACCGGGAUGGACUGACCUCUGGUGCAUCGGUUGAGCCACCAGGCUCAUGGCCGAGUAGCCAAGUCGGGACGGGAUAAACGCUGAAGGCAUCUAAGCGUGAAGCCCCCCUCAAGAUGAGAUAUCCCAUAGAGUUAAUCUAGUAAGACCCCUUGAAGACGACGAGGUAGAUAGGCAGAAGGUGGAAGUGUGGUGACAUAUGGAGCUGAUCUGUACUAAUAGGUCGAGGGCUUAAC